rnacentral:rRNA from 1 species
CACGCCGUAAACGAUGAAUACUAGGUGUAGGGGCCCCAAGCCUCUGUGCCGCCGCUAACGCAUUAAGUAUUCCGCCUGGGGAGUACGGUCGCAAGAUUAAAACUCAAAGGAAUUGACGGGGACCCGCACAAGCAGCGGAGCAUGUGGUUUAAUUCGAAGCAACGCGAAGAACCUUACCUAGACUUGACAUGUCCUGAAUUACCAGUAAUGUGGGAAGUUCCUUCGGGAACAGGAACACAGGUGG